CUGCUUUGCUGACGAGUGGCGGACGGCGUGAGUAAUGUCUGGGAAACUGCCCGAUGGAGGGGGAUAACUACUGGAAACGGUAGCUAAUACCGCAUAAUGUCGCAAGACCAAAGAGGGGGACCUUCGGGCCUCUUGCCAUCGGAUGUGCCCAGAUGGGAUUAGCUAGUUGGUGAGGUAACGGCUCACCAAGGCGACGAUCCCUAGCUGGUCUGAGAGGAUGACCAGCCACACUGGAACUGAGACACGGUCCAGACUCCUACGGGAGGCAGCAGUGGGGAAUAUUGCACAAUGGGCGCAAGCCUGAUGCAGCCAUGCCGCGUGUAUGAAGAAGGCCUUCGGGUUGUAAAGUACUUUCAGCGGGGAGGAAGGGGUUAAGGUUAAUAACCUUAGCCAUUGACGUUACCCGCAGAAGAAGCACCGGCUAACUCCGUGCCAGCAGCCGCGGUAAUACGGAGGGUG
rnacentral:rRNA from 1 species